AUCUUCCACAAUGGGCGAAAGCCUGAUGGAGCAACGCCGCGUGAGUGAAGAAGGUUUUCGGAUCGUAAAACUCUGUUGUAAGGGAAGAACAAGUACAGUAGUAACUGCCGGUACCUUGACGGUACCUGACGAGAAAGCCACGGCUAACUACGUGCCAGCAGCCGCGGUAAUACGUAGGUGGCAAGCGUUGUCCGGAUUUAUUGGGCGUAAGGCGCGCGCAGGCGGUCUUUUAAGUCUGAUGUGAAAUCUUACAGCUUAACUGUAAGCGGUCAUUGGAAACUGGGAGACUUGAGUGCAGAAGAGGAGAGUGGAAUUCCAUGUGUAGCGGUGAAAUGCGUAGAGAUAUGGAGGAACACCAGUGGCGAAGGCGACUCUCUGGUCUGUAACUGACACUGAGGUGCGAAAGCGUGGGGAGCAAACA
rnacentral:rRNA from 1 species